GGCCAAGGCAGGUGGAUUACGAGGUCAGGAAUUCAAAACCAGCCUGGCCAAGAUGAUGAAACCUCAUCUCUACUAAAAAUGCAAAUAUUAGCCAGGCAUGGUGGCGGGCAACUGUAAUCCCAGCUACUCAGGAGGCCGAGGCAGAGAAUCGCUUGAAUCCAGGAGGCGGAGGUUGCAGUGAGCCGAGAUCGCACCACUGCACUCCAGCCUGGGCGACAGAGCGACACUCCAUCUCAAAAAAAAAAAAAAAAAAAAAAAAAAAAAAAUCAACUCCUGAUUUGUGGCGUAUGCUGAUUUCCAUUUCCAUUGUAUAAAUACCUGGACUAAAGCUGAUUUUAAGCUACCAACGUUAUAUCAGCCUAUGUGGAGUUGGGAAUAACAUGUCAUUUUAUACAGUGUUUCCAUCAUACAGAUGCAAUAAACAAAUGACCUCACAAACAGAAAUAACAGAAUGUAGUAAAACACUUAGGAAGGGAUGAGAGUUUUGAGUAUGUGUUAUGUUUUUCAGAUAACUUGAAGUUUACAUAAUUAAACUUUAGAUAAUUGAUGCAUUAACAAUUUGCUUAGCAAAUUUCUGGACAUUUAAAAAUAGGUUCCUGUGAGUCAGUUCAGACCAACUCUAAAAUACUGCUGCUUUUUCACCAUAUAGACAUCCUCGAGUCUGAAAAACCUGUUCCUUUGUGAUUUUCUAAGAACUAUGUUGUUUUGAUUGAUUUUUAGAAGUUCUUUAUAGUUUCUAGAUGUGAGGCCUUUUCAGAUACAAGUAUUGCUAAUAUCUUAGGCUUAGUACCCACUUUUUAAACGGGAACUUGACAAAUCUGGGAUUUUAGUGUAGCACGUAAGUGUUCAAUACAUGUUUGGUUAAAUAAUUCCCCGUAAAAGAUACUGACAUGGAGAGAUUACAUGAGCCCCUGGAUACUUAAGCCAUAUAUUACUUUUAUAUGGAACCAUUUCAGAGAAGGAAGUCUCUCAUUUUGUCUUAAUAGCAUGUUUCACUAUCUCACAGGCCCAUAAAUAGCCUACUCCAGUGAUUACCACCUUUUCUGGAGUUGCAAGACCAGGAAGAUCAGAAUCACAGACUUUUGAGAUUAUAAAGGAAUUUAAAGUCCUAAUGGUCCUGUCCACCUUACUAGUAUACAUUACAUAUGAUACCCAGCAGCAUCCUUUCUGCCAAAGUAAUACAGUUUAUGCAUUCAUUUAAGAAAUAGUAAAUGAUAAGCAAUUUUGCUAUAACAACUCAUGAGAAUUUUAUGACUGUAUUUGGAGACUUGUGGGAAUAAAGACCAGCAAUGAAAGACAAGGAAAUGUAAAUCCAAUUUAUGUAAUAGAAUAUGAUGACCCAACAUCUCCUUUUUGCUCUGUGGGUUUAUAUUGGCCCCCCUUCACCCAUGCUUUGGACUUUACCAUUUCCUUCUCUUCCUCCUCCAACUUCCCUUUGCAUCCUGGCCCCUUCCAAACUAUGUGAGUAUGGAUGUGUUAAUGUAUUACUCCAUCCAAAGGACUAUAACUCAUAUUACCCAGGAGAUUCUAGAAACAAUGUCUGAACACAUCACAGAAACUAAAAUGAGGAGAAGCUCAGGCACUAGCAGAAGGCCUGGUUUUGGUAUUCUUCCAUCUACAGCUGUACAGCUGCAUUCUUAACCUUGGCUGCAUAUUAGAAUCACCCGGAGAAUUUUAUAAAUUUCAGUGCCUGGGCCACACCACCCCAGACCAGAUAAAUAAGAAUCUCUCAGGGUGUGACCCAGGCAUCAGUUUUUUUGUAAAACUCCUCAAGUUAUUCCCAUGUGUAGUCAAGAUUUGGAGCCAUCCCAGGUUGAGGUGUAUUGAUAUAAACCAGCAUCCACAUCUAUAAAUUAAGGCCAUUUAUUUUACACAGUCUUGAAUAAAAAAUGAGCAUCUGUCUUCCACUACUGUGAGGAAGCACAGUCCCUUAAAGUAAUGGUAGGUAAUAAUUCUUUCCUUCUCUGGGCUACAUAAUCUUGGCUCUUCUCUCAUGCUUUCACUCUCUUAAACUUCCUUCCUCAGGCUCCUGUACCAAUCUUCAAUUCACUUGGGAUGUCCUAGUCUAAAACAUUUAUUUCAUUUGAAAGGAAAAAUAUCAAUUUCUAUCUAAAUUGGAGUAAGAUUCCAUUCAGAUGUGUUUAUUUACAAAACAUAAGUUGUUAUUUAUCUGUGUUUAAUUGAUCCUGGAACAUUCCAUGUAAAGAACAUUCCAUGUAAAGAACCAGGCAACUUGGCCAGGCAUGGUGGCUCACACCUGUAACCCCAGCACUUUGGGAGGCCAAGGCAGGUGAAUUGGUUGAGACCAGGAGUUCAAGACCAGCCUGGGCAAUAUGGCGAAACCCUAUCUCUACAAAAAAUUAGUGGGUAUGGUGGUGUGCACCUGUGGUCUUAGCUAUUUGGGAGGCUGAGGUGGGAAGAUGGUUUCAGCCUGGAAGGUCAAGGCUGCAGUGAGUUGGUAAUUGGGCCACUGCACUCCAUCCUGAGUGACAGAGUGAGACAAUCUCAAAAAUAAAAAAAUAAAAAUAAAACCAGCCAACUUGUCUGAGCUCACAAAGGUUUUAGGACUCAUCUGUGUAAGAGAGAAGUCACUGCAUAUCAGGAAACAGGAUGAGGAGUUCCCUCCCAUAACCCACAGCUCUCCAAGAGAACAAAGAGGUACAUGUCUCUGAUUCCCAAAAGUAACUUCCUUUUUUUUUUUUUAAAAAAAAAAAGGGGAUUGUGCUUUUCAAAUUUAUGGAUGUAAAUAAAAGACCUCAGGAAUUCAUGGAUUAGGAGCAAAAGAUUAAAGUCAGUACAAAUGAUAUUCUAAAUAGGCAGAAUGGGUUCAAAUUCCUCUCAAUUCUUUCUGAUUGAAUGAAAAGUAAAGAAUAAAAUCUCUGGCAGAAGAAUAUAAUGAAGGGCAUGGUGUGGAACAGGUUGAAACCUGCAUUUCUCAAAUCCGUAUUGUAUAAACCAGGCAUUACCUUUUGUAUUUGUUAAGCUAAUUUGUUUUAAUAUUAGUAUUGAAAACAUGUUUGGGUUGCUAUUAACAUAGGAAUUAGGCAGUAUUUUGGAGAGCCUCUUUUGAGGGAACAAAUGUACAAUCAGUCAUUAAAAAUGUAAAAGAAAAUACAAAUUAUAGUUUUCUAGCAAUAAAUUGAUAUCAAGCCUGUUUUAAAAUGGGUGAUGUGGUUUGGCUGUGUCCCCACCCAAAUCUCAUCUUGAACUGUAGCUCUCAUGAUUCCCAUGUGUUGUGGGAGGGACCUGGUGGGAGAUAAUUGAAUCAUGGGGGCAAUUUUCCCCAUACUGUUCUCAUGGUAGUGAAUAAGUCUCACAAGAUCUGAUGGCUUUAUAAGGGGAAACCCCUUUUUCAUGGUUUUUCUCUCAUUUUCUCUCAUGUCUGCCACCAUGUAAGACAUGCCUUUUGCCUUCCACCAUGAUUGUGAGGCCUCCCCAGUCACGUGGAACUGUAAGUCCCUUAAACCUGUUUUUCUUUAUAAAUUACCCAGUCUUGAGUAUGUCUUUAUCAGCAAUGUGAGAAUGAACUAAUACAAUGGGCAAAUAUUUAGGAAAAUUUUACUCAAUACAAAGAAAUCCUGGCCUCAAAACUGACAUGAUUUUUACAUAUACAAUAUCAUGUACAAAUAGUUUAUAACUUAAUCCACAUUCUCUUCUUUCAUAAGCAUAUAAGAAGAAUACAAGCAUACCUGUGGUAUGGGAAAUGGAAAGACUACUUACUAUUCCCAAUUUUGAGUAAACCUAGCUUUCAUUUGUGAUUAUAAGAAAUGUUUUUCCUAGUAAAAUUCUGACCAUAAUAUUUCUAAAAAUUAACACUUCAUUCAUUGAUUCACUAACUCAUUCAUACAGCUAACGUUUAUUGAGCACCUACUAGGUUCUAAGAAUGUAUUAGUGGAAAAAGCACAAAGAUAUAUAGAUCUGGAUCACUGACCUCUCCUACUACUCAGAAAGGAAUCUGACCCAUUAUGUAACAGCCAAGAAUGGUGAGCUACUGAAACACUCUUUCACCUCUUGGUAUUUCAGAGGAUGAAUAUGAGGAAGAGGAUGCUAUGUACAUGAUUAGUGGACAGACAGGUGGCUGUUUUAAGAACCACCUCUAGACAAAAUAAUUUGCAAUAGCUCUGAUAAGAAAGAUGUCAACACAAUUAGCUUUUGCAUGCAUUUUAAAAAUUUUGGUAUGGACUUUCCAGUGAAGGUUUUGUAAACUGAUAUCUCAUCCAUACCGAAGGAUGGUACCAUGUUUUUGCCGGUGGUACUCUAAUGUUCAAAUUUGUGAAGUAAAGUAUGUGGUUUACUUGUGAUGCAACUCCUGCAUUUGUUGCCAAUGGCAAUGGUUGUUUUCUUCAUUAGGUUUCAUAUGGUUGGUCAGGUUAUGUCAUGAGAAUUGUAUUGAGAAAAAUUAUGAGUUUGUUGAGUGCCAGCUCUCUGCAGUGAGAAUGGUUGGGGGGUGAGGGUGGGGGGAACUGGCAGUGUUUCUUCUGGUAGGUGAACAGAAAUGCAGACUCGUGGGCACUCUACACAAGCCUUUCCACAUCAACUGGCCUCCCCUCUCCCCAUCCCCGGCAUCUAUUUUCUAGCCUUUAGAAAAUUGCAUACAUGUGUCUGGAAAGUUCCAUCGAUCAGCUCUUUCUGCAGCACUCCACAUUUCUGUGGCUUCAGAAAACCUUGAAUUGUAAUCUCCCUCUUCUCUCAGGAUGCAUCACUGAGAAAAACUUAAAUCAACUAUAAUUUUCAACAGAUUCUAAACAGGGAUUUAGAAAGAUAAGGUGGUUACUGAAUUGAAUUAAAAUAAAUUCAGGCUGUAGUCCAAUUGCUUCCAGCUCUUCCCCUCCCUCUGUGGGCUAACAAGUGUUUCCAAAGCCAUAGGGCAUUAAGAAUCCUGAAACAGCUAAUUAACAGGGCUGCUCUACAUCACAUGAAGCAUGUGGGUUCCAGGCAGCUGUAAAACCUCAGCUUCCUGAGGCUAUCCGAGUGAUGAUGAAGCACUUGGAAUUGGAUCUUGACAUUCUGCUACCUGCCUGUGGCAGAAAAUAACCUUUUUAACAGGGACUUUAGGCGAGGAUAGUACUUUGGGCACAAAAAAGUCUCAUUGCCAUGACUAUGAAAAAGUACAUGAACAUUUCCUCAUGUUCAGACUGUGACUCAUGACUGGCCUGUUAACGGACAGAGGAAGCCUCAGGCGUUCUCUUGACACAUCGUCCAACCAAGUGAAAUACGGGAUUGGUGAGAUGCUUUUUCAUAGCUUUGAAUCAAGUAUCUUCCAAAAGGCAGAUAAAACCAAGAUAAAAGAGGUCAUUGAUGCCCUUUUUCAACAUUUUUUUUUCCACCUAUCUAAAGAUUUCGCCAGGAGAAAUAGAGGGCUAGCCUACUAUAUUUCACAGGGAAAUAAACAAAAGCGAUAAUAAAAACUUAGCAUUUUUUCAAAAACAUUGGACAUGUUGACAUGAAUUGGUCUCAUCUCACAUAGAUCUGAGUAUAAAUUAUGUGCUUUAUUAAUAAAAUAUUCUGUCACACUGACAAUGUCUUAUCUCUUGCCUCCAGCCUAUAAUCCAUUUCCCAUAACGUUAUAACAAAAGUCUUUCUAAAACGUGUCAUUCCUCUACUUGAAUAACCUUGAUUUCUUCCUCUAUUUCAUGGUAGAUAAUCUGCACAUUUCUUAUGCGCCUUAUACCAAGGCUUUCACUACCGGAUUCACAGCUCUGUAACUUCGUCUCAGGGGACUGGGGAGAAUAUUCUGGAGCUACAGAAAUUUAGUUGCCGACAUGCCAUGUCCAUUUAAACCUAUUACCACAUCUUCCCAUUCACUUUCUUUCUGCUGAGUUCUUCGUUUUAUCUUAAGGUGCUGAUUCAAUGUCACUUGCUUUGGGAAUACUUUCUUCACCUCUCAAACAGAAGGAAUCACACCCUUUGUCACUUGUAUUCACUACUCUAUCACCCAUACACAUGGGUAGGUCUGUGACUUACCUUUUUGUCCCAGAUGUCUUUAUUAUCAUCUGUAAUAUACAGAAGGAAGGUGAUAAAUGACUUGCUGAAGGAUAGAUGGACAGAUAAAUGGAUGGAAUUAGAUCAUUGAACUAUACCUAAAAGCUCUUAUAAUUCUAUAUUUUUAUGAUUUAUUUUUAAUGAGGAGCUUUUGAAGUGAUUACUAGAAAAUAUACCAAUUAGCGACCACAAUUAAUAUUCAGUGACAUUUAAAAUUUCAAGUGAGAUUUUAAUUCACUCCUUGAAUUUGUAUGUCUUUUAUAUAGGCAUCUCACUACAACGACCUUAGAGGUGGCAUAAACUGAAAUAUAAAAGCUGGGUCUAUCAAGCAACUAAAAUCUGAUUUGAUGGUUAAAAGCUGGAAAAAUCCAAGAAUGAAUGAAAGAGCUUGUAGAUAGGCCCAGACAGUGGGCAGCAUGGCUCUUCUCCAGCCUGGGACACAGCUCAUCACUCAGGGUGGAUCCUGGAGAGAAGCUGCCUGAGUUCAGCCUUUGCCUAUCCCAGUACUCACUGUGUGCACCCAGAGGAGCUUCUGUGUAUCUGUGAGACCCUGUUUCCUCAUCUGCAAUACCAGGACUCAUAUCCUAGCGGGGCUCUGAAAACUAGAUCAGCUAAUGUAAGGCUUGGCCAUGUAUUUUCUCAAGAAUCGUUGCUGUGAAAGAGCCAGUGAAGUCACAGAGGGUAAAGUCAAUGGUCAACCUUCCUGAUUAAUGAAUAUUGAUUGAGCAUUCACCAUUUAAUAGUUAGCUCCUUCUAAGUCUAAUCGUUUUUAGUUUCUCCUGACACCUGUCAUGUAAGAGGCUCUAUAUGUGAGGAUAGACUUAGGGGGCAGUUGGUUCCUCUUUUUGGACACAGAACAGGAAGAAUAAAGAGAUCUCAGAAGGAAAAGGAAAGUGGGAGGAGGCUGGGUCUGUGGGUUCCCCGGUGGAUCACGCUGAAAGAAUACCUGGCAGACACUUAAUCUCUGCGGCAAAUGCAUGAAAGUAGAAGGAUGAAGCCAACUUUCCAAAAACUUUUAUGAAAUUACUUCAGUGAGAAAACCUAUUAAAUAAAUUACAGCCAUUCUAUAAAAAUAGAAUUCUAUGUUACUUCUAUAUAUAUACUUCUACUAUAUAUACUUGUACUAUAUUACAGUAGAAAUCAGUCAAUCCAAUCCCCUAUUGGGCAGAAGGGAAACUUGCCUCGGACCACACUGUCGGCUGGGGUCCUUAGCACGGUACUAGGUCUCCACCUCCAUGCACUACCCUGGUUCAGAGCUGGUGCUAUGGGUUGAAUUGUGUCCCUGCAAAAAUAGGCUGAAGUUCCAACCCCAGUACCUCAGAAAGGGACUUUGCUUGGAAAUAGGGUCUUUAGAGAGGUAAUCGAGUUAAAAUAAGGUCAUUAGAGUGGGCCUUAUCUGAUGUGAGGGGAAUUCUUAUAAAAUGGGGAAAUGCAGACACACACAUAUGCAGGAGGAAGGCACUAUGAAGAAACAAAGAGAGAAGACGGCUAUCCAAGGAGAGAGGCCUGGAACAAAUCCUUGCCUCACGGUUCUCAGAAGGAAACAACCUUGACAACACAUUACUUUUGGAUUUCUGGCCUCCAGAACUGUGAGACAAUGCAUUUUGGCUGUUGUAAGCCACCUAGGUUGUGAUACUUCCUUACAGCAGCCCUAGGAAAUGAAUACAGCUGGGGACCAGGCUUUUAGUCAAAAGAUCAGGGAGGAAGUCUGGUGUCUUGGGAGAAAUUUCUAGAUUAUAGGAGUCACUGAAUAUCGUAACUUUGAAAAAUCCAUUUUGAAUCUCACCAGAAACACAAAAGCCUGUAGAAAUCCAAUUAUACAAAUUUACAGUCUAGAAAAGGAAAAAAAAUGAAAUUACUCUUCAUGCACAUUUAAGCAGAGUUUAGGACUGGAAAAUAAACAAGGCUUUGGUAACUGGGGAGUGCAGUGCUAACAACACAGUUGCAGGUAUGUGGCUGUGUGGGUUUGAGCUUGGCUCUGCCUUUUACCAACUCCGUGACCUUCAGUCACUGCCCCCACUGUCUUCAGCUUUCUCCAAAAAGAGUGUUGUGUGUCCUCUUGGAGGCCAUACCCUGGGGUGCUCAGCACAGGGUUUCACACACAGUGACUAUUAACUGGAUUUUAGCUCCUAUUAUAAUUACUAAUAGCAGAUAAUUGCCUUAUUAAAAAAAUUAAAGGCAAGCCCCCAAAAGUUAAGAACAUAUGUACUUGUUUGCUUUUUCAUCUUCUUAGAUGACACUUAUUUUAAGUUUUCUUUGUAUGUAAUUCAUUCUAGCUCUCUUAUUCAGCAGUAUUUCUUUCAUUUGAAAACAGCAUAAUAUUUAGAUGCCAAAUGUGAUCAUCAAAUGCAAGAAUAUGGAUAUCCCACUAAGCUAUCUAGUUAUGCUCAAACCCAAACAAGUAGAAAGCCCUUAUGUACAAAGUGAUUCUUUUCAUGAACUUGGAAAUUUUUCAAAAUCAGGUUGCUGAGUUCUGAUUUGGAGCAGCCUGUCGCAAUACCAAAUCACCUUUGAAUAAACUUAUCCUCUCA